rnacentral:rRNA from 1 species
UACGGAGGGUGCGAGCGUUGUCCGGAAUCAUUGGGCGUAAAGGGCGCGUAGGUGGCCCGGUCAGUUCGUGGUGAAAGCGCGGGGCUCAACCCUGCGUCGGCCAUGAAUACUGCCGCGGCUGGAGCACUGUAGAGGCAGGCGGAAUUCCUGGUGUAGCGGUGAAAUGCGCAGAUAUCAGGAGGAACACCGGUGGCGAAGGCGGGUCUCUGGGCCGAUACUGACGCUGGAGGAGCGAAAGCGUGGGGAGCGAACAGG